rnacentral:tRNA from 1 species
UUCAGUGUGAUUCAGUGGCUAGGAGUGCCAGAUUGGCACUCUAGGAGAUGGAGAGUUUGAACCCUCCCACUUUUCCAUGGAAG